rnacentral:rRNA from 1 species
AACACGUGAGAAACCUGCCUCGGAUUUUGGGAUAACAAAUGGAAACGUUUGCUAAUACCAAAUAACGUCGGAGAGUCACAUGACUUUCUGACGAAAGGAAUUCCGAUUCGAGAGGGUCUCGCGGCCUAUCAGCUUGUUGGCGGGGUAAUGGCCCACCAAGGCAACGACGGGUAGCUGGUCUGAGAGGAUGGUCAGCCACACUGGGACUGAGACACGGCCCAGACUCCUACGGGAGGCAGCAGUGGGGAAUCUUGCGCAAUGGGCGAAAGCCUGACGCAGCAACGCCGCGUGCGGGAAGAAGGCUUUCGGGCUGUAAACCGCUUUCAGCAGGAACGAAAAUGACGGUACCUGCAGAAGAAGGAGCGGCCAACUAUGUGCCAGCAGCCGCGGUGAUACAUAGGCUUCAAGCGUUGUCCGGAUUUAUUGGGCGUAAAGAGUUCGUAGGCGGUCGAGUAAGUCGGGUGUGAAAAUUCUGGGCUCAACCCAGAGACGCCACCCGAUACUGCUUAACUUGAGUUCGAUAGGGGAGUGGGGAAUUCCUAGUGUAGCGGUGAAAUGCGCAGAUAUUAGGAGG